UACAGAGGGUGCGAGCGUUAAUCGGAAUUACUUGGCGUAAAGGGCGCGUAGGUGGUUAAUUAAGUCAGAUGUGAAAUCCCCGGGCUUAACCUGGGAAUGGCAUAUGAAACUGAUUAGCUAGAGUUUGGGAGAGGGAAGUGGAAUUUCAGGUGCAGCGGUGAAAUGCGUAGAUAUCUGAAGGAACACCAGUGGCGAAGGCGACUUCCUGGCCCGAUACUGACACUGAGGCGCGAAAGCGUGGGGAGCAAACAGG
rnacentral:rRNA from 1 species